rnacentral:rRNA from 1 species
GACGUAGGGGGCCAGCGUUGCUCGGAAUUACUGGGUGUAAAGGGUUCGUAGGCGGUGUGGCAAGUCGGGAGUGAAAUCUCUGGGCUCAACCCAGAGUCUGCUUCCGAAACUGCUGUGCUUGAGUGUGGGAGAGGCGCGUGGAAUUGCAGGUGUAGCGGUGAAAUGCGUAGAUAUCUGGAGGAACACCGGUGGCGAAGGCGGCUAUCUGGACAGAGUCUGACGCUGAGGCGCGAAAGCUAGGGGGGCAAACAGG